UUAUUUUCUCCCAGCGAGGCUCACAAUAGGAGAUAAGGCCGGCCGAUCUCUCGGUUCUCUCCCCCAUUUCUCUCGGUUCUCUCUCCCAUUCCCCAUUUCUCUAUCUCUCUAUAUCUUUGUGAGCGAACGGCAGCCAGGCAGGGGCGGGAGGGGCGGCGACGCCCUCCCCUCCGCUAUAUCCGGUAUGGGCGGGAGGGGAGGCGCGGUGGCAGUGGACGGAUCUGGAGCUAUGGCGCGGUGGCAGCCAACGGCGGGAGGGGAGGUGGUGGCGGCCUGAUGGCGGCACCCUCAACCUCCGCCGGCUCGAGCUCCAGCCACCGCCUACACCACCGCCUGUGGGCUCCAUUGACUCUACCUCCGACCACGGGCUCCGCCGCCUCUACUACCGCCUGCGCCUUUGCCUACACCUCCAUCGGCCCAAGCUUGCAUGCACCGGCUGAAUCUGGAGCUCCUGGGCGGAUCCAGGCCCCAACCGCCAGAUCUGGCAGUGGUGAUAUUUUUUUAUUUUGUUUUCUACCCAAAUGAUUGUGAAUGUGAAGUGAUUUUGAUUUUUGGCUAGAUGAACGUGAUUGUGAUGUUUCUUGUGAUUCUGUUUUGUGACCAUAUGAUUGUGAAUGUGAUUAUUUUUGUGAUUUGUGAAUGCCUAAUGAAAGUCUACGACUAGCUAUGCUUAUAUUUUUGUUUUGCCACAUUCUUUAGGUCUGUGACGGGUCUCAAUUGAGACCCCUCACAGAUAAGGAUCACCAUCAACGAGUUAAUAUAUUUACCCGUCACAAAUGAAGGUCAUCAGUGACGGAUUUUAGUUGAACUCCGUCAAAGGUGACUUUUACCUUUGACGGGUCUUUACCCGUCACAGGUGGCUCAAUGUCAUCAGUGACCACUGAUCUGUGACCAAACACUUUACCCAUCAUAGGUAAGAGUAUGAGCCCGUCAGAGAUGAUGUGAACCAGCGUAUUGUGGAUUCCCCCAGAUCCCCGAGAAAAUCUGCCAUCGCUCCGACGACCUCCUGUUUCACCUCCAUCCUCUACUACUUCCUCUUCUCUCCUAGGAAACCUGUGCAUCACCUCCUCCAUGGCUAUUUAUACUCAACUCCUAGGGUGGUCGCCAUAGAGACGGCCAAUAACUGGCAACUCUGGCGGCAACAACCCUCACAAAUAACUCCAUGUUUAAUUUUUCCCUUCUACUUGUCUAUUCGAUUCCUCAAUGUAAAAAUAAAAUAUUGAUCGGAUGUGUGCUACUGUAACUUGUAAUGCAAAUACGAUGGUCUCUAGAUUCUUGAUUUGAAACUAAACUGAUUUCUAGUCAUGAUUAUAUGCCAUGGAUGAUGCUUGCGUGAAUAAAAAUCUAAAAUUUCUAAUGCGCAUGAUCAGGAAAUAUAAUAUAUACAUGAUUUACUUUCUCCUAAAUUCUUGAUCUAAUUCAUCUCUUUGUUGAUUGUUCACUGGUUCUGAAAAUAUAUGACUAAACCCUUAUUUUGCUUCUACUGCAGCUUCUAUUAGUUGGUCUGAAUCAGUUUCUCCUCCUUGAGCUGGGGUACUUGCUCCUAGUGGAGCUGGAGCCCCUCCUCCACCUAAUGUUGGUUGAUUUUUCACUCUUGUAUUUUUCCUCUCUUCACUAACUCUCUCGUUAUGGUGGUUCUUCUUGCUAGCUGGUUCGGUUCUACGGAGAAAAUGAAGCUCGGCUACACUCUAAAAUGGUUUUUAUCCCAGGAACAAGGAUAACUACGGGGUGAGUCACCUACUUAUGUUUUUCUGGUGGUCUCCCUGCUUGACACCUAAGCAUGAUUUAUUCAGUGGAGACACAACAGAAUUUUCAGAGAUUUGCAAUUUAAUUCAAAUUUGUUGAAACAUAUGAUAUUUGUAACUUUUGCACUAUAAUACCAGACUUUGGAAAUAUGGAGAUUACUAUGAGUUUAGGGACUGAUUUUCAAUUGCCCAAAAACUUAGAGUUUACUUGAGAAAUAAAUAGUUUUGUAAAGUGUUAAGAGAUGGCUAAUGUCACUAGUUUUGUGUCCCAGAAUGGUU
rnacentral:lncRNA from 1 species